rnacentral:misc_RNA from 1 species
GAAAUGCGAUAAGUAGUGUGAAUUGCGGAAUUCAGUGAAUCAUCGAAUCUUUGAACGCACAUUGCGCCCUUUGGUAUUCCAAAGGGCAUGCCUGUUCGAGCGUCAUUUGUACCCUCAAGCUUUGCUUGGUGUUGGGCGUCUUGUCUCUAGCUUUGCUGGAGACUCGCCUUAAAGUAAUUGGCAGCCGGCCUACUGGUUUCGGAGCGCAGCACAAGUCGCACUCUCUAUCAGCAAAGGUCUAGCAUCCAUUAAGCCUUUUUUCAACUUUUGACCUCGGAUCAGGUAGGGAUACCCGCUGAACUUAAGC